GGUCACCAAAAUCUAUCAUAGUGACAGGAAUUUUUUUUAUCUUAAAGUAUUUGUAUAUGUGAUCCUAUCUUCAUUUUCAUUAGAACUCUGUGAUAGAAGGAUAUGAUUAUAGCAUGACCAAUCCCAGAGAUUCCAGAAAUACUGCUUUUUCUUCUUCUUAAUAUCCGAGUACUCAGGAGUUCUCACCAGGAGGUUUAGCCUGCUUUCUGGGAUGCAUGUUGGAAAACUGAGGAGAAAUUUAACUUCAUUCUCAACCAAGAAACACUGUUUCUCCAAACUUUUUUGGUUGUAAAUUAUUUCUAUCAGGUCUCUUUGAUUAUCUAGGAGUCCUAGACGCAUUUGCUAAAAGAGCUCAAGGGGUCUGUCAGAUUUUCCUCACAUCCUGAGUAGAGAUGACAAAGGUGGGAACAUCAUGGCAAUACCACUUUUCAGCUGACGUUGAUGGGUGACAGAGGGCCCAUGUGACGUACCCAAGUGGAAGGCCCUUUGGAGAGUUCUGUGGUCUUCUCUCCUGCAGGACCCACUCGUGUUAACUAGUCUGGAUAUAAAGGGAACACAUGUUCAGAUGGUUCCACUGAAGUCCAACUCCAACUACCUGGGUCCCCUUGACCAUCUUCCAAGAGAGUGGAUACUUUCGAAGCCUUAAUUUCAGCUCAAGUCUGAAAUGAUUUCAAGCUGUCAACUUGUGUGUGUGUGUGUACAUGUGUGUUUGUAAAUGUUAAAAGGAGGCUAUAAAAGAUGGACCCAUUCCU